CCCUGGUUAGCUCAGUUGGUGGAGCGCUCCACCUGUAAUGGAGAGGUCCCGGGUUCGAUACCCCGACCAGGCG
rnacentral:tRNA from 1 species